GACGAACGCUGGCGGCGUGCUUAACACAUGCAAGUCGAACGGAAAGGCCCUGCUUUUGUGGGGUGCCCGAUUGGCGAACGGGUGAGUAACACGUGUGUAACCUGCCCUUGACUUUGGGAUAACUUCAGGAAACUGGGGCUAAUACCGUACAGGAGCCCCUGUUGCAUGGUGGGGGUUGGAAAGUUUCGGCGGUUGGGGAUGGACUCGCGGCUUAUCAGCUUGUUGGUGGGGUAGUGGCUUACCAAGGCAUUGACGGGUAGCCGGCCUGAGAGGGUGACCGGCCACAUUGGGACUGAGAUACGGACCAGACUCCUACGGGAGGCAGCGGUGGGAAAUAUUGCACAAUGGGCGGAAGCCUGAUGCAGAAACGCCGCGUGCGGGAUGACGGCCUUCGGGUUGUAAACCGCUUUCGCCUGUGACGAAGCGUGAGUGACGGUAAUGGGUAAAGAAGCACCGGCUAACUACGUG
rnacentral:rRNA from 1 species